AUUGAACGCUGGCGGCAUGCUUUACACAUGCAAGUCGAACGGUAACAGGCCUUCGGGUGCUGCCGAGUGGCGAACGGGUGUGUAAUGCAUCGGCACGUACCCAGCGGUGGGGGAUAACGCAGCGAAAGCUGUGCUAAUACCGCAUGUGAUCUGAGGAUGAAAGCGGGGGACCGAGCAGCAAUGUUUGGCCUCGCGCCUUUGGAGCGGCCGAUGUCGGAUUAGCUAGUUGGUGGGGUCAAGGCCUCCGAAGGCUACGAUCCGUAGCUGGUCUGAGAGCACGGACAGCCAGACGGGGACUGAGACACGGCCCAGACACCUACAGGGGGCAGCAGUGGGGAAUCUUGGACGAGGCAGGAAAGGCUGAUCCAGCAAAGCCGCGGGAGGGAAGAAGGCCUGCGGGUGGGAGACCGCUGUUGGCAGGAGCUAAGCGAUGUCCGCUAAUACCGGGCGCUAAUGACGGUACCUGCAGAAUAAGCACCGGCUAACUACGUG
rnacentral:rRNA from 1 species